rnacentral:rRNA from 1 species
GACGAACGCUGGCGGCGUGCCUAACACAUGCAAGUCGAGCGAAGUGAGUACUACGGUACGAACUUAGCGGCGGACGGGUGAGUAACGCGUGGACAAUCUACCCUGUAGACUGGGAUAACACCUCGAAAGGGGUGCUAAUACCGGAUAAUGUCGAGAAGCGGCAUCGCUUUUCGAAGAAAGGAGAGAAUCCGCUAUAGGCGGAGUCCGCGUCCCCUUAACUACUUGGUGAGGGUAACGGCCCAUCAAGGCGACGAUGGGUAGCCGGCCGGAGUGGAUGAACGGCCACAAGUGAACGGGGACACGGUCCAGACUCCUACGGGAGGCGGCAGUGGGGAAUAUUGUGCAAUGGGGGACACCCUGACGCAGCAACGCCGCGUGAGCGAAGAAGGCCUUCGGGUUGUAAAGCUCAACAGUAUGGGAAGAUAAUGACGGUACCAUACGAAAGCCCCGGCUAACUACGUGCCAGCCGCCGCCGUAAUAC